CAGCACCUCAAGUGGUCAGGAUGAUUAUUGGGCCUAAAGCAUCCGUAGCCGGCGCUGUAAGUUUUCGGUUAAAUCUGUACGCUCAACGUACAGGCUGCCGGGAAUACUGCAGCGCUAGGGAGUGGGAGAGGUAGACGGUACUCGGUAGGAAGGGGUAAAAUCCUUUGAUCUAUCGAUGACCACCUGUGGCGAAGGCGGUCUACCAGAACACGUCCGACGGUGAGGGAUGAAAGCUGGGGGAGCAAACCGGAUUAGAUACCCGAGUAGUCC
rnacentral:rRNA from 1 species